rnacentral:lncRNA from 1 species
CCCCAUUCCGUGCUCGCCUGUCGGAAGAAAGCUCUGGCCUCCCGAGACCGGCCCUGGCUUCUUCAAUUCAUCACGUGUCUCUGAUAACGAACUUGGCGUGACACGUAUACCCAGCGAGGCCUGCGGUGGAUAGAUAACGCCACUAUUUGCUGUCCCGGCAACCAGGCGUCACCAUGAUGUUCAAGCCGAAGUCAGCGCUCAAGAUCGAUCGAAGCAGCCUGCAAAGAGCCGUUCACGCCGCACGCUAUCGCAGAAGGUCAAUAUGAUAUGCCACCACACCACCAGUUCCGCUACGCCACCGCUGCUGCAAAGGAUGCCGGGAGUGGUCGUUAGCAGGAUGAAGGACAACCAUAGGAUUAAUAAACACGUUUUUU